rnacentral:rRNA from 1 species
UGCGUAGGCGGCUUUCUAAGUUGGAUGUGAAAACUCUGGGCUCAACCCAGAGACUGCAUCCAAAAACCUGGAGAGCUUGGGUUCUGGAGGGGAAAGCGGAAUUCCUGGUGUAGCGGUGAAAUGCGUAGAUAUCAGGAGGAACACCGGUGGCGAAGGCGGCUUUCUGGACAGAUACCGACGCUGAGGCACGAAAGCUAGGGGAGCAAACA